UCAAGAAUCUUCCCCAAUGGCCGAAAGGCUGAGGGAGCGACGCCGCGUGUAUGAAGAAGCUCUUCGGAGUGUAAAAUACUUUUGAUUGGGACGAACUAUGACUUUACCAAUCGAAUAAGGGGCUGCUAACUUCGUGCCAGCAGCAGCGGUAAUACGAAGGCCCCAAGCAUUAUCCGGAUUUAUUGGGCGUAAAGGGUCCGCAGGCGGCCCGAUGCAUCUCCUGUUAAAUCCUCAGGCUUAACCUGGGGGCCGCGGGAGAGAUGGUCGGGCUAGAGACCGGAAGAGGCAAACGGAAUUGUUGGUGUAGGGGUUAAAUCCGUUAAUAUCAACAAGAACACCAAAUGCGAAGGCAGUUUGCUGGGACGGUUCUGACGCUCAGGGACGAAAGCGUGGGUAGCGA
rnacentral:rRNA from 1 species